UGGGGUCACGUGACAGCUGCUUGCAGA
rnacentral:piRNA from 1 species